rnacentral:tRNA from 3 species
GCCUUCGUAGCUCAAUGGUAGAGCGUUGACUUUGAAAGCCAAGGGUUGGUGGUUCGAUCCCGUCCGGGACA